UUGCGCUUAUGGAUGCGCAGAUGCAUAACCGACCGAACAUCGGACAUUCAGCAUUUAGUAUUGUUUGUUGUUCAGUAGAUAGUGUGAUUUAUUGUGUUCGGUGUUAUUUUUAGUCUGUGCCAUAGUUUAUUCUACAGAUAGCACUGUUUUUGAACAUUAGAGGCAAAAUCGUUUUAAAUUAUGUCCACAAAAAGUUGAAAAGUUCAUAAAAAAAGAGGCAGAUGAAGGAGUUACUAUUCCUUUGAAAAAUUACAGCUGCUACUGGGGUGUCAAGGUCUACUUUUCAGAAGAUAUCAAAAGAAGCUCAAAAAGUUGAUUGGGGAGGGCCAAGCACAUCUUUUCAAUCGCCGAAAAAAAUACGUAACACUAAAAAAAGAAAGCUGGAUCGUAUCUCGCCAGAUCAGAUAAAAUCUAUAAGGGAAAUUAUCUACGAUUUUUAUGUACUGGAGAAGAGACUUCCUACGUUAAACUGUGUUUUGCAGAAAAUUAAUGACCGGCAAAUCUUGACAGAAGCAAUAAAUGUAAGCAGCUUGAAUCGACUCCUUAAAAAAAUUGUUUCAGGUAAUAAUUUUGAUUUUAAGUUGUUCAUUACUACGAUAAUUAAAACCUUGAUGUCUAUCACAGUGAUUUUUUUUGUAUAUAAGUAAUAUCUUACUGUAAUAUAUGUUUAAAUCUUUAAAAUACAUUUUUUUGUAUUUUUUAAUCUAAUAAAUGUUUUGUUGCGAACUGCA